GAUUGAUUGGUUCUUUGUAGUAUUUUGAUUUUCUUUAUGCUUUGAAUUUCAGGUGGCGAUUCGUUUCGAUUUGGGUUUCUCUUAUUAAGCUAAUUGUUCAUAAACGCUAGAGAGUCAGAGAGGAAUUUACUCGAACGAUUUACGGUUAAUCUGCGGCGUCGGAUCAGGCAACACAAUGGUGAAAUUGGGAGUGGAGCUUGGAGAACUAAGAGCAAGCGUCCUUGGGAGAUGGUUUUAUGUAUGUAUGGGUUCCCAACGAAUGUGGCUGCUCUUCAUGUUUUAAUAGAAUUCUGCUUUCUAUGUAUUAUGAGGUUGAAUGGGCUUGGCAACACCCUAUUGAAUCAUUGGCUGUAACAAAGCAUGCUGCGAACAGUGUGAACAGAAAGUAGCAGCUGGUACCAUGUAGUUGAUUAUGCCAAUUGCAACAUAAAACAGGUUCAUGUGGUUGUUGUGGCUACUCCAGGACGUAUGAUAAACCAUUUACCCAAUUCUAUGUCGGUGAAUUUGGAUGAUCUUGCUGUUUUGAUCCUUUAUGAAGCUGAUUGUCUAUUGCAGCUUGGAUUUGAUGCUGAAAUUAAAGAACUUGUUCGCGUAUGUCCCAGAAAAAAGCAGACCAUGCUUUUUUCGGCAACCAUGCCCGAUGAGGUUGCAGAUCUCAUUAAACUUUCCCUACCAAAACCAUUGUGUCUUUGUGUUGAUCCAUCUGCAAAACGGCCAGCAGCCUUGGCUGAAGAGUUAGUGCAGUGAAAUGUUGAAGGAUUCAAGUUGAUGGUGAAAUGGUGCCGGUUUUGUAUGUGGUUAAAUCAUCUCAAAAGAUAAGCCAUUUUUUUACACAGGUAUGAACCACCUGUGAUGGCGUGUGAGGUUCCUAUUCUUCUAAAAGAAGCAGAUGUGCUAACUUUUUGUAAGAAAAACUGAAGCCAUUAUAGUCAUUCAAAUGAACUUAGGAUUCAUUAGAGUCUGGCGUGUUAGGAUUCAUAAGAGUAUGAUGAACUGGAUUAUGUCAUUGGACCUGCUGCAGGUGGUUCAAUCUUGCAGUCGAGGGCAUAUGUUGGGCGAAGGAUGGGCCAUGUACAACUUGAUGGUGAGUGAUCAUGGUAUCAAUCCAACACUUCAACAUUACACAUGCAUGGUUGAUCUUCUUGGUCACUGGUGAACUGGAUGAGGC